AGGAUGGCAGCGGAAAACUCCAAACGCUUCAAUUUCAGACAUGAGGAAAAUUCACGCAAAACAUCAAUGGAAGAAGCAUGGGAAGAUGCAGUGCAGCACAUCAAGAUGAAGAAGGACAAAGUUGGUUGUGAAGUCAGACAGAUAAAUGACAUUAUUGGAAAAGGAGUCUUUGCAGUAAAGGAUUUUAAAAAAGGAGAGUUUGUCCUUGAGUAUGAUGGCGAAUACAUUACCAACGAAGUUGGCAAAGA